GACGAACCGAGCGAACGUUAUUCGGAAUCACUGGGCUUAAAGGGCGCGUAGGCGGGCGAUCAAGUCAGGGGUGAAAGCCCACGGCUCAACCGUGGAAGUGCCUUUGAUACUGGUCGUCUCGAGGGGGAUAGGGGCGUGCGGAACUUCCGGUGGAGCGGUGAAAUGCGUAGAUAUCGGAAGGAACACCGAUGGCGAAAGCAGCGCGCUGGAUCCCUUCUGACGCUGAGGCGCGAAAGCCAGGGGAGCAAACGGG
rnacentral:rRNA from 1 species